AUUGAACGCUGGCGGCAGGCUUAACACAUGCAAGUCGAGCGAGCGGCGGAAGGGUGAGUAAUGUCUGGGAAACUGCCUGAUGGAGGGGGAUAACUACUGGAAACGGUAGCUAAUACCGCAUACCAUCAGAUGUGCUCAGAUGGGAGUAGCUAGUAGGUGGGGUAAUGGCUCACCUAGGCGACUAUCCCUAGCUGGUCUGAGAGGAUGACCAGCGACACUGGAACGGAGACACGGUCCAGACUCCUACGGGAGGCAGCAGUGGGGAAUAUUGCACAAUGGGCGGAAGCCUAAUGCAGCCAUGCCGCGUGUGUGAAGAAGGCCUUCGGGUUGUAAAGCACUUUCAGCGAGGAGGCGUUACUCGCAGAAGAAGCACCGGCUAACUCCGUGCCAGCCGCCGCGGUAAUUG
rnacentral:rRNA from 1 species